AAACAACUUUUCUCUUGCUUAAUUUAUUUGAAAAUCCAGGAAAGUGAGCAAACCAUUAAAAAAGUCUUCCCAACCAAAUGGAAGGUAUUUUUCAUAACAAGCUUUUGGGCCAAUCGACAUCUGUUCAGAUCACUUUGUUCAGCAGCAUCUGCAGCAAUAACAAAGAGGAAUCUGUAAACUUUGUUCAUAAUAUUGUUUCCUUUGUAUCUACAGAACCUAACUUCAGUUGGUAUCCUCACACUCGUUUGUUCAACCCUAAUCGUUGUUUGUCACGUUGUUAAUAAACUGCAUAAAUAAAUCUCGUUAUAUACCCUUGUA